rnacentral:rRNA from 1 species
AUUGAACGCUGGCGGCAGGCCUAACACAUGCAAGUCGGACGGUAGCACAGAGGAGCUUGCUCCUCGGGUGACGAGUGGCGUACGGGUGAGUAAUGUCUGGGGAUCUGCCCGAUAGAGGGGGAUAACCACUGGAAACGGUGGCUAAUACCGCAUAACGUCGCAAGACCAAAGAGGGGGACCUUCGGGCCUCUCACUAUCGGAUGAACCCAGAUGGGAUUAGCUAGUAGGCGGGGUAACGGCCCACCUAGGCGACGAUCCCUAGCUGGUCUGAGAGGAUGACCGGCCACACUGGAAGUGAGACACGGUCCAGACUCCUACGGGAGGCAGCAGUGGGGAAUAUUGCACAAUGGGCGCAAGCCUGAUGCAGCCAUGCCGCGUGUAUGAAGAAGGCCUUCGGGUUGUAAAGUACUUUCAGCGGGGAGGAAGGCGAUGUGGUUAAUAACCGCAUUGAUUGACGUUACCCGCAGAAGAAGCACCGGCUAACUCCGUGCCAGCAGCCGCCGUAA